GUAAGUUAUUAAGGGCACACGGUGGAUGCCUUGGCAUUAAGAGCCGAUGAAGGACGUGUGAAUCUGCGAUAAGCCUCGGGGAGCCGAUAACUGGGCUGUGAUCCGAGGAUUUCCGAAUGGGGAAACCUGGCUCAUCUUCAUGGUGAGUUACCGCCAGCUGAAUGUAUAGGCUGGUUGGGGGGAACGCGGGGAAGUGAAACAUCUCAGUACCCGCAGGAAGAGAAAAUAAAGUAAUGAUUCUGUGAGUAGUGGCGAGCGAAAGCGGAAGAGACUAAACCUGUGGUGUGUGAUAGCGGUUAGGCGUUGCAUCAUGGGGGUUGUGGGAGUCACAGUGGCAGUUCUAACUGGCUGCCGGCAUGAUGUUCAGGAUGGUAGGUGAACGACUUGGAAUGGUCGGCCGUAGAGGGUGAGAGUCCCGUAAUCGAAAUUGUUCUGUCCGUGGUGUGGCCACCCGAGUAGCACGGGGCUCGUGGAAUCUCGUGUGAAUCUGCCAGGACCACCUGGUAAGUCUAAAUACUUCUUAAUGACCGAUAGUGAAUCAGUACCGUGAGGGAAUGGUGAAAAGUACCCCGGGAGGGGAGUGAAAUAGUACCUGAAACCGUGUGCUUACAAGCCGUUGGAGCCUUUUGGGGUGACAGCGUGCCUUUUGAAGAAUGAGCCUGCGAGUUAGUGUUAUGUCGCGAGGUUAACCCGUGUGGGGUAUCCGUAGCGAAAGCGAGUCUGAAUAGGGCGUUUGAGUGGCAUGACCUAGACCCGAAGCGGAGUGAUCUAUCCAUGGCCAGGUUGAAGCGACGGUAAGACGUCGUGGAGGACCGAACCCACUUCAGUUGAAAAUGGAGGGGAUGAGCUGUGGAUAGGGGUGAAAGGCCAAUCAAACUCUGUGAUAGCUGGUUCUCCCCGAAAUGCAUUUAGGUGCAGCGUUACGUGUUUCUUGCCGGAGGUAGAGCUACUGGAUGGCCGAUGGGCCUUCACGGGUUACUGACGUCAGCUAAACUCCGAAUGCCGGUAAGUGAGAGCGUAGCAGUGAGACAGUGGGGGAUAAGCUUCAUUGUCGAGAGGGAAACAGCCCAGACCACCAACUAAGGCCCCUAAGCGUGUGCUAAGUGGGAAAGGAUGUGGAGUUGCUUAGACAACCAGGAGGUUGGCUUAGAAGCAGCCAUCCUUGAAAGAGUGCGUAACAGCUCACUGGUCAAGUGAUUCUGCGCCGAUAAUGUAGCGGGGCUCAAGUACACCGCCGAAGUUGUGGCAAUGACCUUUUUUGGUUGUUGGGUAGGGGAGCGUCGUGUAGCCGGUGAAGCUGCGGUGUAAACCAGUGGUGGAGGCUAUGCGAGUGAGAAUGCAGGCAUGAGUAGCGAAAGAUGAGUGAGAAACUCAUCCGCCGGAUGAUCAAGGGUUCCAGGGUCAAGUUAAUCUGCCCUGGGUUAGUCGGGGCCUAAGGCGAGGCCGACAGGCGUAGUCGAUGGAUAACGGGUUGAUAUUCCCGUACCGGUGAAAAACCGCCCAUACUGAUAUUGUGAUGCUAACCAUGCGAAGCAUGAUGUGCAGGCUUUUGUUUGUGUGUUGUGUGGGUUGUGGGACCCGAUCUUUGGAGGUAAACGUAUUAACAGGUGUGACGCAGGAAGGUAGCCAAGCCACGCGAUGGUUGUCGUGGUCUAAGCGUGUAGGGUUGUCGGUUGUUAAAUGCGCCGGCUGUGUGCCUGAGACGUGAUGGGACCCCGUUUUUGGGGGAUUUGGUGAUCCUAUGCUGCCGAGAAAAGCAUCGGCGUGAGGUUUUAGCCGCCCGUACCCUAAACCGACACAGGUGAUCAGGUAGAGAAUACUAAGGCGAUCGAGAGAAUCAUGGUUAAGGAACUCGGCAAAAUGCCCCCGUAACUUCGGGAGAAGGGGGACCUUGAGCGUGAUGGGCACUUGCUGCCUGGAGCGUGUAUGGGUCGCAGAGACCAGGGGGAAGCGACUGUUUAUCAAAAACACAGGUCCGUGCGAAGUCGUAAGACGAUGUAUACGGACUGACUCCUGCCCGGUGCUGGAAGGUUAAGAGGAUUGGUUAGCCCUUUUGGGCGAAGCUGAGAAUUUAAGCCCCAGUAAACGGCGGUGGUAACUAUAACCAUCCUAAGGUAGCGAAAUUCCUUGUCGGGUAAGUUCCGACCUGCACGAAUGG
rnacentral:rRNA from 1 species